AGUGAACGCUGGCGGUAGGCCUAACACAUGCAAGUCGAACGGCAGCACAGUAAGAGCUUGCCCUUACGGGUGGCGAGUGGCGGACGGGUGAGGAAUACAUCGGAAUCUAAUUUUUCGGGGGGGAUAACGUAGGGAAACUGACGCUAAUACCGCAUACGACCUACGGGUGAAAGCAGGAGAUCUUCGGACCUUGCGCGAUUGAAUGAGACGAUGUCGGAUUAGCUAGUUGGGGGGGUAAAGGCCCACCAAGGCGACGAUGCGUAGCUGGGCUGAGAGGAUGAUCGGCCACACUGGAACUGAGACACGGUCCAGACUCCUACGGGAGGCAGCAGUGGGGAAUAUUGGACAAUGGGCGCAAGCCUGAUCCAGCCAUACCGCGUGAGUGAAGAAGGCCUUCGGGUUGUAAAGCCCUUUUAUUGGGAAAGAAAAGCAGCAUGUUAAUACCCCGCUGUUCUGACGGUACCCAAAGAAUAAGCACCGGCUAACUUCGUG
rnacentral:rRNA from 1 species